AGGGCAGGAAAAUAACAGGGCCUCUGUGAGCCCAGGAGGGUGAGUGGACUACCAAGAGGCCGAGCAAAUUCGGCAGAGGCUGGGAUGCGUGCGGACGGUGGAGCCUGCAGGAUGAAGGAGAACAGACGUGCGCCAAGCGGAGAACCCUUCGGGCUGGCCCUCACCGUGGAGUCCGUAAAGGACGAGCCCGGGAGUAAGGGCAGGCCGUGCACCGGGUUGGUCACCAUCGCUGCCCCGCAGUUGCCGCCACGGUUGCCUUCUGCCGCUCGGGUUGCCCUGGCAACAAACAGCACUCGCGGGCCUCUGCUGACUCCAAGAUUCCUGUAAGUGCGCAGAACUUUACUGGGUAACUGUUGACUGAGAAGUGCCUACCUUAGUCCCUACUUCAUACCUAUAACAUCAGUGAAACCUAAGAACCUCAGAGGAAGAGAGACCGACUCAGAGAAAGAAGCAACUUGGGUGUGUGCAUGCAGAAGAAGGUGUGGCUCCCCUGGAACUGGACUUACAAAUGGUGGGACCUCGGAACUGAACCCAAAUCCUCUACAAGACUGACAAGCGCCCUAACCAAUGAACUAUCUCUGCAACACCUAUGCUUUUGUUGUUGUUGUUCUUGUUGUGAGACAGGGUUGUGUUCUGUGAUUCAGGCUAGCCCUUGACACAUGAAAAUCCUGCUUCAGUCUCCCAAGUAUGGGAUUCCACCAUGUCCUGUAACUCAAAGAACUUUGCUUUAGUCACAGACCUAGAAAACACAAUCUCUGAGUGAACUCCUCUGUAUGCCACUGACAGAGAGACCUGAGCUGCAGUCCUGAACACUGCUGACACAUGGCAUAUGCCUCUAGCCUGCAAUCGCUCAUCUACAGAAUAGUUGAUGAGAAGCUGCCUCGAACACUGAAGUAAGAUCUACAAGACAGAAAGCCUGGAAAGCAAUUAACGAGAUGCUUGGUUCUAAACCCAAAACUCACUUGCCGUAACUUAUUCGAGAUGCAAGCAUGGUGGUUCGUGCAUUCCUUGUUCUUCUAUGGUGCCAUUCAUCACCCUGUGCCAAGACAUUCACUUAGCCAGUGCCCAUCAAACAGGAACACACACACACACACACACACACACACACACACACACACACACACCCUAGUAUCUCGCCAGGAGCUGACUCUGAAUUAAAACUCAACAUAGAAAUUGAAGGUAUCAAGAGAAAAACCAAGGAUUACAGAAUAUACCAGAAAGAGAAACACAGAAAAAGACAAUAUAGAAAAAGGUAAUUAUUAGGAUAUCUUCAUACAUCUAAAAAUAGAAAGAAAGGAAGAAAGAAAGAAGGAAAGAAAGAAAGAAGAAAGGAAGGAAAGAAGGAAAGGAAGGAAGGAAAGGAAGGGAGGAAGGAAGGCAAGCUAGUUACUUGGUGUCUCUGUCAUUGGACCAGCAAAGAGAGCACAGUGCCUGGGCUUCUGCUCUUGAGCUUGAAGGGGCAUCCACAGGGAUGUGCCCAGGAGACAGGACGGCCUUUCAAUGUGUCCCGCUGCCAUGAGCAACAUCUUUUCUAGAGAUGCGGUUUUUAUGGAACCCUGCUGCUCAUACACAGGCUCCUGUUACCUCUCUCACAAAGCAGGUGAGAAAGUGAGGUGAGGGGCCGGAGAGGCAGGCACUAUUUAAGAUAGCUGCCUUUUCAGAGGACCCAAGUUUUACUCCCAGUCCCCACCUCAGGCUGCUCAUAACUACCCGUGACACCAAUUCCAGGGGAUCUAGUGAUCUCCUUUGGCCUCUUCGACCACCUGUACAUGUGUAGCACACAUACAUACAUAAAUACAUACAUACAUAUGCAUAAAGUAAAAAUUAAAUCUUUUAAAAAGAAAAAUUACUACCAUUCCAGUUUUAUGGUUGGGAGACACUGAGGGGAUGGAGCUGCGCAGAAAGACGCUGAGGAAGGAGUCUCUAAUCAGAUGCCUCAAUAGAAGGACAUUUUCACAGUGCUGAGAAACUCAUACCAAUCACAUACAGCUCUGUACCCGGAGGUCAAUGAUACAGUACUAUACGAAUCCACCCUUCUCAUCUUCCCAUCCUCUGGGAUAGAUUCAGUGGGUCCCUAUGAUCCAAUGACAACAGAAUUUCUAAAGACUAAAACUUUAGGGUUUGGUUCAUGGACAGGAUGGAGCACAGUUCAGUUCUGGGAACUAAUGGUUGUCAGUCUGCUCUGAGAGAGAAGAUGGCAGUGCUGCCCACUUGCUGGUCUUCAGCUAUGGCUGCUGAGUCUGUUAUUAAAGCUCCUCCAGUCUUCCUACUGCUCAUGGCCUUUUUGGCUGAAUGCUGAAUUUCUACUAAAAUUGGGUAUUUCUACUUUGCUCUCGCAGAAAACCAACUAGGAAGAGGUCUAUGGAACUAAAAAGCAGAAAGGGGAAGACCGGGCUGGAGAGGUGGCUCAGUAGCAAAGAACAUUGACUGCUCUUCCAGGGGUCCUGAGUUCAAUUCUCAGUAACCACAUGGUGUCUCACAACCAUCUGUAAUGGGAUCUGAUGCCCUCCUCUGGUGUGUCUAAAGAUAGCCAUACUGUACUUAUAUACAUAAAAUGAAUAAUUCUUUAAAAGAAUGAAAAGAAAGGGGUAAGACUAAAGGAAUAUUAACUUUAAUUUCAAAGUAUCUUUCUCUCUCUCUCUCUCUCUCUCUCUCUCUCACACACACACACACACACACAUAUGUGCCGCAUGCAUACACAUAUGCAUGCAUGCACACAUAUAUGCAACACAUAUAUACACACACAGCAGAAUCACCAUUUCCUUUGCAAAUUAGAUGUUGAAAAUGCAGCCACCUCAGUUGUUGAAUCUCCUUCAUAACUGUGUUGUGUACCCAAGAGUGAAUCCUGGCUAUCUAGCAAUAAAGCUGCCAUGAUAAGUCACCUAGAAAAUAAUUUCUUAAAUGACUCGGCAAUUUGGGGGUCACAAAGAUCUAGUAUUCUUUCUAAAGACUUGAAAGGCUUACAUUUUCCUUUGGGAGUUCAAGGGUAUGACAUUCUAAACCUGUUAAAAAGACAGGAUACUAUUUCAUUGUUCUUUUCUUAGUAACUACCUCUUUGCCUGAUAGGAAACUCUCCCUUUCAGAGUAACCAACAAAACCACAAUCAUAACGGACACUCAAAGCUGUUUUGUUAAAAAAAAAAAAAACUAAACCACAGACUCCUUAUCAUUGCCUACAAAGAAGUCGAUUGCAAGAUGAAAGUGUAACAUCGCUGCCUUUGUGGUAGAUCUGUUGCCUUUACUUGGGACAGUCUCCUGCCUGCGUCUGUCUGUACAGGCUCAUUAACCACUCAACCUGUCUUCUCUUUCAAGGUUGAAGCACAGAGGCAAGUCACUGUCCCAGUUACCUUUGAUUCCAGGACAGAUAAAAGGACUUCAUGGGACUGACCACCCUCUUACCCCAAAGGAAUUAUCCAGGAUACAACAUACCACCAUAUCACAUUGAAAACUGAAUUGAUCCCUUCAAGAAACGAGGACUUCUUCAGAGCACCUCAAAGAGCCAAAACUGAAUCUAUGAUCAGCCAGACCACAUCUAGGUGGGGACUGCUCAUUUAUGAAUACGUCUUGUCCUUCUGCCUCCGUUCUUGCGCUGGUCAACCUAGAUCUCACGUCAGUGACUUGAAGACUAACUUGGGAGUCCCUAGACUCACUUGUCCGUUCCUCUUCCCAAUGUGUUGAGUAAAUCCCCCCUCUCUCCAGCUUCACCAUCACUUGAGACUGUACCUGGCAUGUUAGGAUAGGUCAGUAAACACAGCUCAUCAUGGAUGCUGGAGCUCGUGCUUCAGCACUUACACUCCAGUUAUGUAGUCAUGGCAAUGAGCUACAAUUCUCUUAUUAUCGCUAAGACAUCAUGUGGAGCCUUGAUAUCCUACCCUGUGGCCUUUAUUUUCAUCGAGCCAGAGUGGACAGUGCUUGUAGAAGGAGGGUUUCUAAGGGCCAGCUGUAAAGUUUGAGCCCAUUUUGAAUCUUGUCAUCUCAGUGUUGAUAAAGGUACAGUACUGUACCUUCCACAUUCCCAGUGGCUGUUCUGAGAAAAGACCCAACAUCCCUCACUCCUGACUUCUCUCUUACCUACUCCUUCCUAUGAUGUGAUGAGCAGCCAACCAAGAUACCACCUCAGAAUGACAUACCUUGUACAGAAUCACUUGGCUGCCCUCUUCCCCCUGAAUAGCUGCAAGUUCAAUCCUCAAGACUCCAAUUCAAACAGAUAAGCUCAAGUCAGUCAUUUUGACCAAGGAGAACUUCCUUAUAGCAGCAAAUAGCCUACACCAGACGCCAAAGGCCACAGAAGAAGAUUAAAAUGAGACUCCUUUCCUCAAAGGACUUAUUCUAAAGAGAUAAUUCUGCAGCCCAAAUCUCUAAUUAGCCCAAAAAUCAAGCGUAGAGUAGAGUGAAGCCCAAACAAACCUCUAUAGAACAAACUAGUGCAGGGCAGUCAUGAGGAAAAUGGAUUGGUGUUGGGUCUAGAAGGCUGCAGAGGGACAAAAUAUGAACAGAGGGAUGCUGUGGCUUCUUGGUGGGUCCAUAGCAGAGGGACUAUUGGGAGUGAUAAGAGAGAAUGAGGUAAGUGUGGUGACAUCAGUGAGAGAUGAUGUUCAAUAUUAUAGAAGGAAAAUGGGUGUUGUGCCAGGUGGGAUGGCAUAGGCUAAUAGACCCAGGCAGUACCCGCAAAGCAAAGGGUUGAGAGUUCAAGGACAUACUUGACUGCAUUGUAAGAUGCUGUCUCAAAACAAAAACAACAACAACAACAACAAAAACCCCACACAGCAACAGAUGUAAAUACAGGAAGGAAGCAGUUGUGUCCUCUUUCAGCAGGUUUUCAAUGCUUAUCUCCCUUGAGUGUGAAAGAGUCUCACUGUCACUCUCAACAUGCUCGUUAACUAUGGCAGACCCGGAAGCCACCCUGAACAUCUUCAUUCUUCCUCUCUCUCUGGUUCUUCUCCCAGGCCCUUAACUUCAACUACUACCUAUACCAGAAGAUUCCCAAAUCUACCUUUGGCCAGACCGCCCUUGCGAUAGGAGUUUUAAUAACCAACUGCUCCAAAAGUGUCCGGCUGAGUGUGGCGUAGGCAAUUCAAAAUUACGAUCUUCAAACAUCUUCAGUCCAGUCUUGCUUCUUUCCCCUUCACCUCAGGACAUCCGGGCCUACUGGCUUCAGCCCGCCAUGUCUAGAAUCCAUGUGCUCUUUCCAUCUCUGUUUCCUCUCUUCAACUCAUAACUCUAACUCUCCCACUAUAGCAACAUCGGCCCCAUGAGUAUCCUUUCUUCUAUUAGUAAACCUCCCCUGCCUCACACCCUUAACCUCCACGAUGGUCUCCACCCACUUCCUGGUGACAGCUAAAAUGGAACUCUUGUGUUCCUCCUGCCCACUUGCUUACGGUGCAAACUCUAUGCCUGUCUUUCAGUCUGGGUCUUUCCCUGCAGACCUCGUUUACCCUUUAGCCCCUGAAACCACACCCCCAAGCAGUGUCAAUGGCCUGGAGCCUGGAUCAGUGUCUAGCAGUCUCCAUCUCCCACGCUUGCAACAUUGCUAUGUUCUAGUAAGGUGUUCUACCAUUCAACUCCAGCUCACUCUCCAGGAAGAAGCCCUUCCUCGUUAGGUGUGCCUAACUUCCAGCUUUGCCUAGUCCUUGUAGUAUCCAGGUUUGCUUUCUCGCUUCUCUCCUGAACAUGAUCACUGAUGUACUCCACUCACGUCCUCAUGAGUCACCAGAUAAUUCAAGACAGGGACUGUUUUUGUUUUUUUUUUUCUUGCAGAAGUCUCCAUAUUUAAAAUAGUACCUAGCAUAUGGAAGACCACCAAUGACUGUUUACUGAAUAGCUCUUAAAGGGGUGGGGAUGCCAUUGAGUUGCUAGUCAGGAAGAUCGGUUGUCAACUAAGACAUUGAACUCUUCAGUGUGAUUGCCAAAAGAUGUAGGUAAAAGGAAGUGACUUCCGCUCUAGCCGCGUCUCAGGAAAAUAAAAAAAUAAUAGUAGAGUGGGCAGAAGUGGAAAGAUAGACUAUGCAUAUUAAUGUGCUGGUGAUGUUUGGAACAAAGAAGCCACCAUUCACCAUGGCAGGCACUUAAGGACUCCACGAUUUAGCUCUGCACUUGGAUCACAAGGUAACUAAACGCAGGGUACCAACCCAGUGGAUCCACCUCCAGCUCAGACCCAUCUCCAUUAGGCAUUUACGACCAGCUCCUAAGAGACUCUCUCAGGCGUCCAAGGAUUGUCCUGGAACUAAACUCACCUUGGAUUCCAGAAGUUUGCGGACAGGUUGCCCUGUGUGGGAAGGAUCCUUUUAUAGAAAUGGAUGAGUUAGCUCCUCAAAUAUAAGAAUUUCUUCAAACCACCCUGUACGACCAGCCAGUGGUCAACCAGAGUAGUUUACCUAGGCUGUUUAGUUAUACAUAGUUCUUGUUUCCUGACUGAUUCUUAGAGUAGAGCUACCUAUAGACCUUUGAAAGAUAAGUCACCGGACACCUUUAACUAUGCUCCCGGGAUGGCCACAUUGGUUAAAUGCUCUUCAUCUGCCUUUUACCACUAUGCAUCUCUUGAAUAGGUACACUGAAAUGGGUGGUCACACACCCCAUCAGUUGGAAUUCCUAGAGCUGAGCCUUUGCCCCAACUCUUAAAACAUAGUCACACCCCUCACCAUCACAGCUAUCUCCCUGUGUCUGUGAGUUCUGCAUCCAGAGUCCAGGGGUUAUAAAUUUAAAAUAUUCACAUCCCAGCACUUGGGAAGUAAAGGCAGACAGAUCUCUGUGAAUUCAAGGCCAGCCUGGUCUACAGAGUGAGUUCUAGGACUGCCAGAGGUACACAGAGAAACUUCCUGGAGAAAUGAAAACCACAAAACAAAAACAUCUUAACCAUAUGCCAAGUAUAGUAUGUGUACCAUGAAUUCAUUGAAUAUUAAAAAAAUAAAAGUUAUAACAUGUUACA